AGGACGAACGCUGGCGGCGUGCUCAUACAUGCAAGUCGAACGAUAAGGCACCUUCGGGUGUACAUAAGUGGCGGACGGGUGAGUAAUAUGUAGAGAAUCUGCCCUAGAGAGUGGGACAACAGUUGGAAACGACUGCUAAUACCGCAUAUGAGCGUACCUGAAAUGGUAUUCUUGAAAACUCCGGUGCUCUGGGAUGAGUCUGCAUCUGAUUAGCUAGUUGGGGGUGUAAUGGACCACCAAGGCGACGAUCAGUAGCUGGUUUGAGAGGAUGAUCAGCCACAAUGGGACUGAGACACGGCCCAUACUCCUACGGGAGGCAGCAGUAGGGAAUUUUGCGCAAUGGGGGAAACCCUGACGCCAGCAACGCCGCGUGACCGAUGAAGCCCUUCGGGGUGUAAAGGUCUGUCAGUGGGGACGAAUAUUGACGGUACCCACAGAGGAAGCAUCGGCUAACUCCGUGCCAGCAGCCGC
rnacentral:rRNA from 1 species